AGUGAACGCUGGCGGUAGGCCUAACACAUGCAAGUCGAACGGCAGCACAGUAAGAGCUUGCUCUUACGGGUGGCGAGUGGCGGACGGGUGAGGAAUACAUCGGAAUCUACUUUUUCGUGGGGGAUAACGUAGGGAAACUUAUGCUAAUACAGCAUACGACCUACGGGUGAAAGCAGGGGAUCUUCGGACCUUGCGCGAGUGAAUGAGCCGAUGUCGGAUUAGCUAGUUGGCGGGGUAAAGGCCCACCAAGGCGACGAUCCGUAGCUGAUCUGAGAGGAUGAUCAGCCACACUGGAACUGAGACACGGUCCAGACUCCUACGGGAGGCAGCAGUGGGGAAUAUUGGACAAUGGGCGCAAGCCUGAUCCAGCCAUACCGCGUGGGUGAAGAAGGCCUUCGGGUUGUAAAGCCCUUUUGUUGGGAAAGAAAAGCAGCAGGCUAAUACCCCGCUGUUCUGACGGUACCCAAAGAAUAAGCACCGGCUAACUUCGUG
rnacentral:rRNA from 1 species